rnacentral:rRNA from 1 species
UACGGAGGGUGCAAGCGUUAUCCGGAAUUACUGGGUUUAAAGGGUGCGUAGGCGGCUUAGUAAGUCAGGGGUGAAAGGCCACGGCUCAACCGUGGAAUGGCCUUUGAUACUGCUGAGCUUGAAUCAGGAUGAGGUUGGCAGAAUGUGGCAUGUAGCGGUGAAAUGCAUAGAUAUGCCAUAGAACACCGAUUGCGAAGGCAGCUGGCUAGACCUUGAUUGACGCUGAGGCACGAAAGCGUGGGGAGCGAACAGG